rnacentral:misc_RNA from 1 species
GAUGAAGAACGCAGCGAAAUGCGAUACGUAAUGUGAAUUGCAGAAUUCAGUGAAUCAUCGAGUCUUUGAACGCACAUUGCGCCCUAUGGUAUUCCGUAGGGCAUGCCUGUUCGAGCGUCAUUCAAACCUUCAAGCUCUGCUUGGUGUUGGGCGUCUGUCCUGCCUCACGGCGCGGACUCGCCUCAAAUCUAUUGGCGGCCGGCACGUUGGCUUCGAGCGCAGCAGAAACGCGAACUCGAGACCGGCGGAUCGGCUCCCAGAAGCUACCCCCAUGAAUUUGACCUCGGAUCAGGUAGGGAUACCCGCUGAACUUAAGCAUAUCAAUAAGCGGAGGA